rnacentral:rRNA from 1 species
CCCUUAGAUGUUCUGGGCAGCACGCGCGCUACAAUGGUCUUCGCAAACGGAUGCAUUCUCGAAGGAGAAUGCCAAUCUUGGAAUCUAUGCCUUGGUCGGGACAGUUGCUUGCAAUUUUUCGACUCGAACCAGGAACUCCUUGUAAUCGUGAUUCAUCACAUCACGAUGAAUACGUCCCUGCCCUUUGUACACACCGCCCGUCGCUCCUACCGAUCGAAGAGUUAGGUGAAUUGUUUUGAUCGAUAAGAUUUGACUAUGGUCAACUCUCGUUGUGAAAUUCUGUGAAUCUGACUGUUUAGAGGAAGGAAAAGUCGUAACA